rnacentral:rRNA from 1 species
GAUGAACGCUGGCGGCGUGCCUAAUACAUGCAAGUCGAGCGAACGGACGAGAAGCUUGCUUCUCUGAUGUUAGCGGCGGACGGGUGAGUAACACGUGGAUAACCUACCUAUAAGACUGGGAUAACUUCGGGAAACCGGAGCUAAUACCGGAUGAUAUUUUGAACCGCAUGGUUCAAAAGUGAAAGACGGUCUUGCUGUCACUUAUAGAUGGAUCCGCGCUGCAUUAGCUAGUUGGUAAGGUAACGGCUUACCAAGGCAACGAUGCAUAGCCGACCUGAGAGGGUGAUCGGCCACACUGGAACUGAGACACGGUCUAGACUCCUACGGGAGACAGCAGUAGGGAAUCUUCCGCAAUGGGCGAAAGCCUGACGGAGCAACGCCGCGUGAGUGAUGAAGGUCUUCGGAUCGUAAAACUCUGUUAUUAGGGAAGAACAUAUGUGUAAGUAACUGUGCACAUCUUGACGGUACCUAAUCAGAAAGCCACGGCUAACUACGUG